GCGCGGCCGCCGCCGAGGCCCAGGCCCUGCUCUGAGCUCCGGGAGGGACGCAGCCGGCACAGCCCCAGCUGGAAGUGAGGGACCAGGGACCCAGCGGGUCCACCCGGAACCACCAGGACCCGACAGCACGAGCUACCCAGGGCACAAGACACCACAGGCCACAGAUCAAUAAACCAAAAGCCUAAAAGAGCUCCCUUCCAAGGACGGCUGUGGAGCCCAGAUGGCAAGGGGCUUGCUGCACCCACACCUGAGCCACCAAGGGACAGGCAGGCACCAGGAGCAGACCCCCUGACUCACAGAUGCCUGUGGUGUGACUCUGAAUACACCCCAGCUUCCCUGGGCCUGAGGGGAGAGGCGCUCCAUGAACUGAAGGAAACAAGGCCCUGGCACAGACCCUGACACUUGGAGGGCUGAACCCGUGGACUCUUCUGCACAGCCCUGGGGGUCUGAAGACACUCACCUCUGUGGGGCUGGGGCUGGCCACAGGCCUCAGUUCUGAGCGCGAGGGGACCACCUGGGCCACAGGCCGCAGCAGCUCACCUCUGGGCUGGGUUCUCCAGCAGCUCUGGCUGGCUGUGACUCGGGCUGUGGCUCCAGCUGGGGGGCAGCCUGGGCUGGGGGCUCAGCUGGGUGAAAUGCCGGGCCCUGGGUCUUGGAAUCCACCUCCUCCUCAAGGAGCUCAGCAGUGACUUUUCGGCCCCUAGGGGAAACACAAAGGUGUUCCUGAGAUGAACACUUUUAAGACAAGUCCUCUGCCAGCCGGAGCCCCAUCCCCUCCUCCUCCCCUGGCUGUUCAGUGAGGAGGCCUGAAAGUCACCUUGCCAGGGUUUUGGGUAGUAGCUUCCUUUCCUGUCCUUAUGGCUGCCUAGCUCCCCCUCUUUCAAAGUACAAGGGAAGGAGGAAGAGGCCCACAGUUCACCUAAAGCUGGACUUCCCAGCAGCCAAGCCUGAAAAGGUUGCUUGCCCACAGAGGCAGGAGACCCUUCUGUUAGGUGGCCUGCCCCUUCCUGGCUGGUGUGGACUUGUGCCUGGGCAUGGGGCAGGGUUGCACACAAAAGGCAUGCCUUGGGGGGAUCACAAUACACAAUAUGACCCCCCCCCCACCUCCAACAUUCCCACCUUGGGUGGAAGCAAGGAGGGGGUCAGGAACAAAACAAAGGGCACAGCUCUAUAUUCAGAAAGCCCCUGGAUGGUUGGAGAGAUACAGUGGGACACUGAGCUUCCCUGGGGAAAUGAGAUCUGUCCCCACAAACACCACACUGGGUGUAUGGAGGAGUCUGGGACCCCACAUGGAGGGGACAGAAUCGUGCACUCCCCCGGGAAACUGCCCUUGCCCCACCACUCAGUUCUGUGGGCAAGAGACGCAACAGGAGAACUGGGCCCGCCAACAGGGAGAGAGAAGCUUUACUCUUUUAAUCCUGCCGUGGGUACAAGCUGCAUUGCCCUUCAUCCUCUUCCUUCUCACUCCCCUUUCCAAAUACUUAGUGGGGUUCUUUGGUUAUGGUCAGGAGGUGUAGGGAGUGGGGAGAAGGGGGGUGCUUUGCUUUUAAAAUGGUAUAAAAAAACUGCUCCAAAA